GAUGAACGCUGGCGGCGUGCCUAAUACAUGCAAGUCGAGCGAACAGACGAGGAGCUUGCUCCUCUGACGUUAGCGGCGGACGGGUGAGUAACACGUGGAUAACCUACCUAUAAGACUGGGAUAACUUCGGGAAACCGGAGCUAAUACCGGAUAAUAUAUUGAACCGCAUGGUUCAAUAGUGAAAGACGGUUUUGCUGUCACUUAUAGAUGGAUCCGCGCUGCAUUAGCUAGUUGGUAAGGUAACGGCUUACCAAGGCAACGAUGCGUAGCCGACCUGAGAGGGUGAUCGGCCACACUGGAACUGAGACACGGUCCAGACUCCUACGGGAGGCAGCAGUAGGGAAUCUUCCGCAAAGGGCGAAAGCCUGACGGAGCAAAGCCGCGUGAGUGAUGAAGGUCUUCGGAUCGUAAAACUCUGUUAUUAGGGAAGAACAAAUGUGUAAGUAACUAUGCACGUCUUGACGGUACCUAAUCAGAAAGCCACGGCUAACUACGUG
rnacentral:rRNA from 1 species